UAACAGCCAACAGCCAAGAGCCAAGCGAAUAAAGAGCGAGGGCCAAACAAACAAUCAACUUAAGCAUCGCAGCAGCUCAGCUGGACAUCUCAGUAUCUGUGCGCUGGCAUCGGAGCCUCUUGGCCAUCUUGAACAUCUCGAGCAAAUAAUGAAGCAAUGAAAUGGCCAAUUUAAAUCAAUGCGCCUGCCAGCCAGCAAAAAACUAAAUGGCCAACUGACUAUUUGCCUAACUUGUUCUCUUUUUUGGGGUAUAUGCAUGUCGAUAUCACUUGUUUAGCUGGCUUUAAGUAUGGAAAAAACAUUUGCUUUGAUCUUACCAAAAUUGAGGAUUUGCCUUGGGAGCUGGCAAUUACGACACUUGCAGACACCAAUUGCUUUUAAGCCGCCAAACACAAACACAAACACACAGAGGCACGCACACACGCACUCACAUGAGUGGGUGGCGGGCUGGCAUUCCUCUGACAGUGCGCCUCGCAUUGACAUAUGGCCAGGAUGUUG